GACGUAGGGCGCGAGCGUUGUCCGGAUUUAUUGGGCGUAAAGAGCUCGUAGGCGGCUUGUCGCGUCGUUCGUGAAAACCCACAGCUCAACUGUGGGCUUGCGGUCGAUACGGGCAGGCUGGAGUUCGGUAGGGGAGACUGGAAUUCCUGGUGUAGCGGUGAAAUGCGCAGAUAUCAGGAGGAACACCGGUGGCGAAGGCGGCAUCCUGGACCAAUAUUGACGCUGAGGAGCGAAAGCCAGGGGAGCAAACGGG
rnacentral:rRNA from 1 species